GUAGGCGUUAUACCUGGGAAAAAUCAAGUUUUCGAGUAUUUUGCGUUUAAAUAUUUUUAUGGGAAAGAGCACGCGCGCAUGACGUCAUGAAAAGCGCUUAGGCUAGCUUCCAUCUUGCUACGAAACAAAGAAACUGACGUUACGCGUUAUUAAUUUAAUAUAAAGUUAGGCGUUUAAUCGAUAAACAAAGACGUAAUAAUUGUGUUUGAAUAUCAAUCGGAAGUACACAUGCAUGUCUUUUGUGCACAGUGUGUUUUUUUAAUAAACAUGACAUAAAUCUAUGUGUUAUUCAACGUAUUGUGUGCGACGAGUUGAAGAGAGGUUUACACGGCUAGGCUUUCCGAGAUAAAUCGUAACGAAAUAGCAGACACCACACAGCGUCUCAUCUGAUUCUACGCUGUUUGCCAAGGCCGAUACUAUAAUGAAUGGAAAUGCACAAACUCAGUAACUGGCAAGCAUA